CUUGAGUGUGGCAUGAAAUGAAUGCCCUUUGGGAUCUUUAUUAUUUUCAAUUAAAGAUAGACUAUUUUUCUUGUGAGGUUGUGGGAUUUUUUCCAAAAAAAUUUAAGUGAGGAAUCUGAUCAACGAAUUUUCUAUAGGGAAUCCUCUCUUGAAAUUAAGUGGAGAACUUCGUUGGGAUGAAGAAUGAGAUGGAGGGUGGAGAAGUGGAAGAUGCAUCUCCGUACCCUUCCAACCGGUCCAAGGAGCUGGCAAAGAGUCAUUCAUUCUCUAAGCCAAUAAAGUUGAAUCUGAAUCAGAUGCAGAUGCAGAUAAAUGGGCAAGAAUACACAAAUUGAUGUUUCAAUCAUAUGCUUGGUUUUGUCAUUUUGGCUGUCCAAAGGCACACAUUUGAGGUUAUGAUCUGGUCCACACUAUCCUUCAUUAUUUAUCCUACCUUUUUUGUUUGUUUUGUUUCCAACAAAACACUUGCUAUUCAGUACCCCGAUAGAAAAUUUAAAAAGAAAAUCAAUGAAGAUGCAUAGAAAGUAGACUAUUUGGUCAGUUUCAAGUGGUGUGAUUUGAUAUGAAGCAGACCCUUUAACAGAGCUUCUUUUGACUGUUAGUUUAGGUAGAGAGAGAGAAAAAAAAUCAAGAAUUUAAUGCAUUAUUCUGCCAUUUCAUUCUUCA